GGAAGGAAAAGGCUUUUACUUUGGAAUCUUUUCCACACCAGCAAAGGUGAACGCAAUGGACUUGAUGUGCCAGUGCCAUCAUAGUUGCGGACCACUCCUCAUAUCAAGCAUACACUCCAUGCGCCCUGUCGAUGAUCAAGAGGAUAGGGAUGUAGCUGAUGAUUCAAUUUAGAUUAAUAAUCUUUGUUUUCUUCUCAUGCGGGACCAUCUAAGGAUACAAUC
rnacentral:lncRNA from 1 species